rnacentral:rRNA from 1 species
AGCGAACGCUGGCGGCAGGCCUAACACAUGCAAGUCGAACGAACCUACCGGGGUUAGUGGCGGAUGGGUGAGUAACACGUGGGAACGUGCAUUUAGGUUCGGAAUAACUCUGGGAAACUUGUGCUAAUACCGAAUGUGCCCUUCGGGGGAAAGAUUUAUCGCAUUUAGAGCGGCACGUGUCUGAUUAGCUAGUUGGUUGAGGUAAGGGCUCACCAAGGCGACGAUCAGUAGCUGGUCAGAGAGGAUGAUCAGCCACAUUGGGACUGAGACACGGCCCAAACUCCUACGGGAGGGAGCAGUGGCGAAUCUUGCGCAAUGGGCGAAAGCCUGACGCAGCCAUGCCGCGUGAAUGUUGUAGGUCUGAGGAUUGAAAAAUUCUUUCACCGGGGACGAUAAUGACGGUACCCGGAGAAGAAGCCCCGGCUAACUUCGUG